AAUUGGCAGAGGGAAUGAUGAGACUUGCCAGCUCCCAGGGAGAAGAUUACCAGUCCUCCAAGUCUACACUCCCCCAACUUGGAGAGAAGAAAAAAGAACCUAUUGCCAGGACUUUUUGGAAAAGAAUCUCUUAGACUAAAUGAGAGAGGAGAAGAUGGCUGCUGGGGUGGGAGUGAGCGAGAAAGGGAACAGCAUGGGAGCCACAGUGAGUGAUAGUUUACAGCUGCAUAAGUUUUACUCCAGAAUUCACAUCCAACUAUCUGCAAUCAACACCACUACAGCCCAGCCCUGACCUCUGCCAGCUUGGAAGACACUCUGCAACCAGGGAUGGAAAAGAAUCAGCUGAAAAGGAACGGGCCAGUUCUGAGGACGUUCCACAGAUGGGGAAGGCAUUCAAAUAAGGCCACGUGGACAAGACUUCAGAUAAAAUAGAAAGAUAUAUACAAAAUCAAAAUAUGAACAUCAAGCCGCUUCUGACCCUUGGAUAAAAUGAUCAUGAAUUCAUAUGGGAUAUCAGCAUGAUGGCUUUAUUCAGUGACUAAGCAUUUGAACUCAAUUUUGCUAUCUUAAUUGCAACUGUGUAAUUGAAAUUAAAUGACAACACAGAAGAUCUCAGCUAUAUGAUAAAUGACCAUUCUACUUCUACACACUAAUUACUUCUUUCUUCCUUCAUUCUACUUUUUCUACAAUUUUAAACUGUUCCUGGAAUGUUAUGGUCAAGUCAGUAUUUUUGGUUCAAAAUUACCUUUUUUUUUCCCAUCUGGAAUCUGUGAUAGAGUUUAUUUUCCUUUAUUGUGAGGUCUAAAAUACCUCUUCCUUUGAUGAAGUUGCCUCUUACUU